AGCGAACGCUGGCGGCAGGCCUAACACAUGCAAGUCGAACGAACUCUUCGGAGUUAGUGGCGGACGGGUGAGUAACACGUGGGAACGUGCCUUUAGGUUCGGAAUAACUCAGGGAAACUUGUGCUAAUACCGAAUGUGCCCUUCGGGGGAAAGAUUUAUCGCCUUUAGAGCGGCCCGCGUCUGAUUAGCUAGUUGGUGAGGUAAAGGCUCACCAAGGCGACGAUCAGUAGCUGGUCUGAGAGGAUGAUCAGCCACAUUGGGACUGAGACACGGCCCAAACUCCUACGGGAGGCAGCAGUGGGGAGUCUUGCGCAAUGGGCGAAAGCCUGACGCAGCCAUGCCGCGUGAAUGAUGAAGGUCUUAGGAUUGUAAAAUUCUUUCACCGGGGACGAUAAUGACGGUACCCGGAGAAGAAGCCCCGGCUAACUUCGUG
rnacentral:rRNA from 1 species